rnacentral:lncRNA from 1 species
CAUUUUCAAUUUCAAGACUUGUAUUUAUUUUUCUUAACCUUUCUGAUUCUUCUUUUAAUGAUUCAUUAUUUUCAUAUAGAUGACUAUAUGCUUCUUGUAAUGCAUAGUGUUCUUCAUUUAUAUUUUCUAGUGUGUAUGAAGAAAGAGAAGUGCUAGGCAGUUGAUGUUCAGAAUUUACCUCAGAUCUUGGUGAUGAGUCAUUAUUUGCUAUUAGGUAGAGAUUUG